CAGAGCAACUUCCACCUGACCAAAGAUGCAAGGGGGAGAGGGUGCUGAAGGGGAGGCAGACAGACCUACAAGUCAUCGUGAGGACUUUGAAAUAUAUAUGAAAAUGGCACAAAGAAAGUCAGCUUAUGGCAGCUACUGAGAAACUAACAGAUGAACAGUGACCCUCCAUCCACGUUUCAAGGCACAGUAUUAAGGCACUUUUCUAGGGUGUGUACAAGCAUACCUGGUCUCUGCUUUCAAGGAGCUGACCUGUUUUUCAGAGAUACUAGGAUGCAAAGACACACCGGGACUUCAACAUUUUAACACCUCUGAGAUAAAAUGCCUCCUGCAAUCAGUGAGUUUAACAGGUAUCAUUUUUCUGUUUCCCAAUAGUACACAAAAUAUUGGUGCUCUUUACAA